rfam:Pseudomonas putida strain TASWS0946 Contig187, whole genome shotgun sequence.
UUGACUUCGAAAUGAGAAUCGUUAUGAUUAUCACAACUGGUCGCGAGACUGGUUGGAUAUUCUGAAAGACCUUGGUUCGGACUCUCAGAUUAUCUCCUCAUCAGGCUAAUCACGGUUAUUGACCCGGCACUUUGCCGGGUCUUUUUUUU